rnacentral:rRNA from 1 species
UACAGAGGUCUCAAGCGUUGUUCGGAUUCAUUGGGCGUAAAGGGUGCGUAGGUGGCUGGGUAAGUCAGGUGUGAAAUCUCGGAGCUCAACUCCGAAACUGCACUUGAUACUGCCUUGCUCGAGUACUGGAGAGGAGAUUGGAAUUUACGGUGUAGCAGUGAAAUGCGUAGAUAUCGUAAGGAAGGCCGGUGGCGAAAGCGAGCCUCUGGACAGUUACUGACGCUGAUGCACGAAGGCCAGGGGAGCAAACGGG